CGGUGCGGCAGUGCGCGUGAUGGCUGUGCCCCCUCAGGGGCUCCUGCGGCCCUACCCGCCCCCCCGUCACAUCCCGCUGAGCGGCAAGUAACAUAAUGCUCCUUAUCCCUUCGUUCUGGGCUCAUUCGCCGCUAGUGGUCAGAGCAGCCGUCCUCAAUGGUUGGUCGCUCUGCGUAGUGUUCAGAAGAGAUUAAGAAAAGGCAUUUGUUCCCUGGUGUGGAACCCCUUCAGAUUUUGGCAGCAGAGGCGCCUGCAUAAGCUGACUGAUGACAGGGGCUUCACUGUUCACCACUACAAUAGAAAUGUAUCCUUUUCUUCACUAACAGAGGAAGACAUUUAAAAUCUGCCAGUCAUGGGAAUCAUAUGAAUGGUUCUGUGGAGCCUGACCCAAGAUUGCUGAACUCAUGGCUAAGUGCAGAAUUGGACCUCAUGCUCCAGAAGUGAAAGGAAGGAAGAAAUUGUCAGUGAGUCUGAAAAUGACAAGAGUAUAAACUGAACUCUCAGGGAGGGCAAAAUCACUGGAGAGAAGAUGAACAAUUUAUAUCCUUUGUUCACUGUGGAAGAUGGGUUUGAUAACCUUGACAGGAUUCCAGGUGCCCACCAAGGCUGCUCUAUCACAGCACUCCUCAUCUGGCCAGGGGAGAGAAAAUAUAACAAAAGGCUCAUGAGUUAAGGAUAGGGAGAGAUCACUCACCCAUUACCACCAUGGGCAAAACUCCUCCCUGUCCUUCUGCACUGACCUUGGUGUUUGCAGAGUUUUUUUCUGUCACAUACUUUCACUCCUCUCUGUGGCUGCAGUUGUGCAGGGCUGGUGGUUUCACUUUCCUAAAUACAUGAGCCCAUAGGCAUUACCACCAUCACUGAUCAGCUCAGCCUUGGCCAGCGAUGGGUCCAUCUUGGAGCUGCUUGGCAUUGACUCCAUCAGACAUAGGGGAACCUUCUGGCAACUUGUCACAGAAGCCACCACUGUAGCCCUCCCCUUCUACCAAAACCUGGCCACACAAACCCAACACGAAGAAAUCAGGGAAAUUAUCCUUCCAGAGUCCUUUUGGGGUAUUCAGGGAACCUGGCAGAGAUUGUCUCUAAAACUGAAAUACUUGGAAGUGUAAGGGUACAAAAGGCAGGUGAAAGCAGAUGGAUCUCCAGGAUCUGAAGAAUUUACCCAUUAAUUCUAAGAAAACUCAAGGAUGAAAUAUCUACUAAAAGCAGCAUGUAACAUAUCUUUUCACUGUUCCUCAGUACAUGAAAAUCAGGUGUCAAACGUGAUGUCCAUCAUUAGAAAAGGUUCAAGGGUAUCCAGCAACUUAAAACUGACACCUGUUCCAGGUGAAUGACUAGAUAUUGUAAGAGAGAGAAUUAGUAUCUACCUGAAAAAAUAUUAUCUUAUCAGUGAGAAUUAAUAAAGCUCUCAGAGUUCUUCUAAAAGGGUCAGAGAUAUAUAAAUGAGGAUCAUCUGACUGAUAGAGUCAACUCAGGUUUUUAAAAGACAUCUGACAGAAUUUUUUAAUUGACGUGUUUUAGGAAAAUCAAGCAACACAAAACUGUCACUGGCAUAAGAAGGAAGAUGCUGAAAUGGAUUAGAAUAUGAUUUAAAAUAUGGGAACAUAGAUAGAUCAUCACUGGGUGGAAGAAAAUGGUCAGUUCUUGCACAGGAGGGAGAGCACAGACAGAAUUCCAUACUAUUCCAUAUAUUCUCAAAUGUCCUGAAGAAGGGAGGUUAUCAGCAAGGUGACAAGGCUUUGCUGCCUAUAGAAGGUUAUGCAAAGCAGUUAGGAUGAGGAAGACUGCGUAGCCUACAGAAAGAUUAACUGUACAAAAAGCAAGGUGCAAUUCAGUAUAGAUAAUUGUAGAGUGGUACAUUUGGGGAAGAAUAAUCCUAUCUUCACAUCUUGGAUAAUUUCUAAGCUGACCCAAAGAUCUUCAGGAACAACACCUUUGCAUUAUGAUAGACAGUUCCAUGAAAAUAUCACUUAGCAGUAGUAAUUCAAGAAAAAAAAAAGUUGGGAAUGAUUACAAAAUAAAUAGAGAAUAGACCAGAAAGGUUUGUUUUGUUCAAGUCUGUUCAAGUCCAUAUGCUACUGCAAAAAUCCAGGGUUCUGGUCCAUUUAUCUGGGACAGGAUACUCCAGAACUGAAAUUAUUCGAAGAUGACCAAGGAUGGUCAGAGGUAUACUGUGAUUGCCAUUAUAACAUGCAAGAACCCAUCCAUUGAAUAUCCAUUAAUCUUAUUUGGAAAUACACGACAGAGUGGGAAGGUAAGAAGGAGUUUGCAGAGCUGAGAGGUCUGGAGAAAAGUAGAGAGGGAUUGACUUUUUCCUGGCUCUUCUAAUUCAAGCAUGAAGGAUAUUGGAUGACAGUAAAAUCUGCAUUCAAAACAAACCAGAGGAAAUAGUUCUUCAGACAGCCUAUGUGGGACCUGUGGUGGUACUCCUCAAAUGACUUUCUGGGUCAAGGAAUUUGUAAAGAGACAAGGAGAGACUGGAAAAAAACUUUGGAAGAGAUGCUGCAGAGUCCACUAACUAGAUAAAUCACAUAAUCUGACUUGAAAAUGUUUGAAGGCUGGGAGGCAGUAUGUCCUUACACUGUUCUGUUUUUCCUGAGUGUCCACUCCCAUGGCUACUGUGGGAGAUGGAGCACUGUGCUAGAUGAACCUGUGGUCUUAACCAGUAAGUUCAUAUAUAAUCUUCUCAUUGUACACCAAAGUCAGAAUUAAAUAAAUGAAAUUAUUAACAGCUUAAAUAUAUUUAUGGCUUUCAAGCUCCCUAAGUAAAUGUAAUGCUAUGAGAAUUAAGGACCAGAAGGAACUUUAAGAUCCUAAUCCACCGCUUUGUUCCAUGGCAAAAUCAAUUACAUUGGUGUCCUUAGUGACAAAUUUGUCUUACCAGUUCCUAAAGGUUUCAAUGAUGGAGACUCAAUGGCCUCAUAAUUAAUCUAUGUAAAUCUCACUAUUCAUACUAUGAGAAGGAUUUUUCCCUGUCUAACUGGAAUCUAGUCAGCUGUUGUUUUCUGCAAACCCUUAGCUGCAAGCCUGAGCUAAGACUGGAGGCGUCCUAGACUUCUGAAGAAUGUUUUCCAGUAACUUCCAUGACUCUGGAAAUAGCCUGAACACAGACUUGGUUUUUAAUGUAGCUCACAGUUACUUGUUUUUUAGUUUGGUUAACACGACUGAGCAUGGUCAGGGAUUAUUUCUGUAUCCUUUUACAAUUUUUCUUGUUAUUCUAAUGUCUUAUCUCUUUAGCAUCUUCUGGCUUCAGGUAAACUUUCUAAACACAAUAUGUUUUGAGUUAGCUGCAGCAAAACCAAUUUGAAAGGUGUGUCUACAGAAAAAGUGGAACAAAAAGAUUUCUUUUAAAAUAUCACUGAAAACCAGCAUGUAGUUUUUUAUUUCCUGGAAGGUCUAAUUCUGGUUUUGUAAUUCACUGUAGUUCUGUAAUUCACUGAACUGUAUGUGUUUGAGAUUAAAUGUUUGAUCCUUCUUACAUGAUGCUACUCAGUUCAAGCAAACUCUGCUUCUUGCAAAUGAUCAUUAAUUGCAUUCUCCAUUCUCCAGGUACCUGAUUUGACAACAGGGUUCUGCCUGGCAUAAAUGUUAAGCACCUACAGAGUCAACUGAAGUUGAUGUGGGCUGCUCUAAUAAAACAUAGUGUGCUCUGAGUUGUGUAAGCCUUUAUAAAAAAUCAGCUCAAUUGGGGCAUUUUAGCAAAACCUCUUAAGCUUUAUUUCCUUGUUCUCAGUCUCUACUCUCCAAUGUAAGAGCAUUGUCUUCUCACUUGCCAUGAAUUGUGAAAAUCAGUUUGUUGGUACAAGUGAAAUACUGGAGCAGGAGUGGUAGCCAUUCUUAGGAGACGAAUGUCUGUGAACAGGGUUUAAAUUAAUAAAAACCCAUGAGGUGAUAUGAGGAUCUAAAAGGGGGAAAAAAAGUGUUAAAUAUGCUCCUCACUGGUGAACACUGACGAUUCUUUGUACAGAAUGAAACAAACAUCCUGUGGAAAAACAGUGUGUCACGAUGUAUUUGAAGACUUCAUCGCGCUGUGGAUUGUGCAAAGAUUGCACAAGUGCUUUGAUUUUGGUGAUUUUAAACUCAUUGCAAGGCUACAACCUCAGUGAUGAACUUUCAAUACAGGUUUGCAAAGGUAUGUCAUGUAAAGGUUUAUUUGUAGGUUGUAAAGUCUAGCAGUUUCAAUGAAACAACACUGUUGUCAGUCAGCACAUUGGCCCAGGGAAGAAAAUAUUGCAUUUCUUUUCUUGAAGAUGGAACUUACAAAAAAUUACCACUAUGGUAAAUUACCCUUUAUUCCUAGUUCCCUGUAAUUUAAGAAUUUGUAAAAUUGUUCCUAUUUGAAUGUUGAACUUGAUUGGUUAUGCCAAGGAUUGCAGAACAAUUUUCAGUUUCUCAUACAGAGGAGGAUGAAUGAUAGUUUUCAGUAGCUUCAGUCUGUCUUCUGGCUCAAAAAAUUCAAAGUGAUCAUGUUCACACUGGAAUUCUUAUAAAUGGCUGAUAUCUAUACAGGAAUUGCCUUGGAGAAAAAAAAAAAAAAAAAAAAUCCCCUGACCGCUUCCUCAUUACCAAAGCUGGGCGUUUGAUUUCAGUGGUAGGGGAUUUUUUCCUUGUUUCUCUGUGAAUUCAGGCUAUUCAUUUGAAAUGAGGCAGUUAUUACUGAGAAGCAGUGGGCUACUCAGUUUAAGAAUGACUAAAGAAAUUUAAGUUUCUUAAUGUAUAUUUCUAGUGAAAGCUUCAAGGAUUCUCCAGAAUCAUCUCUCUGAGAUUUUUCCUAGUGUCUUUCCUUCUCAUUGUAUCCUCUCCACUCCCCUGCCUCCCUCAGUUAUUCUCUUGAGAGCAGUGUGACAGAUCAAAGGCUGAGAUGGGGCCUAUGCCUGGAGUGAUGACUUUCCUUUCCCCUUCAGCCUCUCUGCUAGCUAUCUCCAUGGGUGUCUCCUACAGCUGUUAGCAUCAGAACUAGACCUUCAAAUUAACAGAAGGACAUAACUGUGGCAUAUCAGAAUUAAUUCUCUGAAUUCUUCCUAAACUAAGAUGUAUGGUAAUAAUACUGAUCUGAUAGGAUAGUGUGUGGACAACAAUGCCCAUUUAUGGCAUUUACUUUUCUUCUUUGUGUUCUUAUUAUGGCAUAUCUGUUAUCAGAAUAGGAGGGAACAAGUCCACAUUUUGCAUUCCUUCCCCAUAUUUUUCCAGCCCUCAUUCAGCAGAGUACUUAGGUGUGUGUGUAUCUCAAUCCAUUUGCCUGUCCUUUUAUAAUAAAUGCUGAAUUGGGGCUUUCAGUGUUGGUCACAACUGGAAAGAUUUUGUAAAAAUUCUGAUUUGGAUUCCCCAUGUUCUACAACUUGACAUGUACAAGCUGGAAAAUGUGUCUUGAGGGUGUUUUGGUUUUGUUUGUAUUUUCACAGAGUGAUCACUCCAGUUCCUGCAGUGCCUCUGAAUCUGCCUUUUGCAAUUUGAACUUGCUUUCUUUGUUGCUUCCCCUUCCUCCCUUUAUUGUUUAGUUCUUAUGUUCCUCUGAAGCUUUGAUGAUUUUUUCCUUGACUAUUUACUGCAACUUUUUUUUGCUCCAGACUCAGUUCAUCCCUUGAAGAAUCUCUACAGUUCUGGAUGUUCUAACAACGAUAGCUUUUGCCUACCCCAGCUGUCAUGAGAAUUUUUGCCAUGCUGUAGUGGGAUUUCACAGAUAUAUUCAUUCAUGGAGGUUGUGGGGUUUUUAGAUUUCAAUGGACCCUCAAUAUAUGGCUUUGUUUUUACUAUUCUCCAGAUGUAAAAUUAUUCUCCAAUUAUUCUUUUUUUGGCCAUGGAUGCAUUAGGCAACAUGCACUUCAGUAGCUUGUGGUAGCAACAGAAGCACAUUUUGAUUUGCUGUUAGGUAGCACUGUGUCCAAAAGAACUUUCAGCAGAAAUCCUCUGAAACCCUUUUCAAUAUAUAAGAAAGCUGCUCCUUGCAGAUCCAAGAAGUUCAGAGUUACUCAGUGAACAUACUGUGUGGUUGCCUCUAGGUUUGCUUUCCAGCAGAUGCCCAUUUCACCAUGUCAUCCGCUGAUUUAGACAUAAACCAUUUAAUUACAGUAAGAGCUUUCAGAAAGGUUUCUGCCCAGGUGGCCACUCUGAAGGUUAAUCUCUUGCCCAGGAUGGUUUGAAACUUGCUGUCACAAUGAUUGGAGCUUCCAACCUGAAUGGCAGUGCCAGUGCCACUAAAGUGUGGUUUCUAACAGAGUGGACAAAUGGGACUCCCAUUUGUCCUCACAGUGGUAUUUUUCAUGUUGCCCAUCUUCUGAAUAACUCUCUAGCUCAGUUGACCAACUGCAGUUACUCUGCAAAGGCAUAUUUUAUGUAUUUUUAUGGAGUCCCUCCCACUAAUAUGACUAGCUAGAUUAUCUGUAAGGCUGUGCUUGUUCUGAAACCACUAUUGAUUAAAUGCUGAGAUGAAUUUUUUUUAGAAGCUGUCAUUGGAACAUGCUUAGACUGCACUUGCUGUCAGCUUAACAGUCAUGUUUCUGUGUCUUCCUCUAAAUUCCUCUCCCAGCUGGGCUCUUUCAUAUCUUCGCAUUAAAAUAGUUCCUUCCUAAUUAGACAGAUCUCUGUCAUGAUAAUCAUCUUGAGAAUGUAUGCUGUAUUUUCAUACUGUGUAUCUUUUCACAGAUCAGACCUGUUUUAUCAUUUUUCAAAAUCCUAACUCACUGAAUAGAUCUCUCACCAAGCAAUCAUCUCCUGUAGCUGGUAAUUAGUGUCCUGUCAGCUGAUACCAGUAGGCAUUACUAUUCAUCUGCUGCCAUCAGCAAGUUCAUCUUAGAUCAUUUAGAAUUCUGAUAGAUUUGAUUCUUUUCAAAUUCCAGUUGUGAAGAUGGUAUUCCAAAGCUGAUGUGCAAACACGGGAAAAGAAAUGUUGUAGUGCAAAAAACCACAUUUGUGUGUGCAAAGGGAAUUUCUACAGAAGAGGUGUUUGUUUGCAAAUCCAUGGUCACGAAAGUAAGAGCACACACAAUCAUGAGUGAGUCUGUGAUUAUGUCUGACUAUAGAACAUAGUUGUUUGGUCAAGGCUGUAAAGAACGUCUGUUUUAAUGACAAUAAUCAGUAGUUAGAACAAAAUUGAGAUCUCUCUAUUUCUUGUAUUGCUCAGGCUAUAGUACAAGGAAUUUGUUUCCUGUUUUUAUUUUUUCAGUCUCAGAGGCUUAGCAGAAGUGUUGUCCUUCUCAAAAAUUGGAUUUAAAUAGUUCACUAAAUAGCUCAUUUUACUUUAGCUUUUUAGAAGCUGGUAAUUGUUUAUGUAAGUGUCCUUAAAAUAAAUGAUGCAAAAAUGAA